GCGAACGCGAGAUCAACUACGAGAACCGCGGGGGGCAGGCAAACGGACGGCCACCGCGCGCGCCGCAGCGGUCGCCGCAGCGCCGUGACUCCCACGACACGGAACUGACGGAGCCGGCGACCGGCCGCCGCCGCCAGCCCGUUUCGCGCUCAUCCAGCAUGCCCAAGGGCUCGCGCUCGGCCGGCUGGUACCGUGCUGAGGACCGGCCAGCACGCUGAGUGAUGUCAUCAGGAUGGGUUGCUGAGUGCCACUGCUGGCAUUGCCAGCUGUCUGCUCCGGCGGGCCGGGCGCAGACCGUGCAGCAGCCUGCCCCGACACUGAGACCGCCGCCGCGCCGUCCCGGCCGCCGGUGCCGGGCUCAGCGGCCACCUGCGACCCCGGAGACCGGUCGGCCGGCGAGCACAGACUGCCGGGCCGGCCGUCCCGCCGCUGCCGGACCAGGAAGCUCGCCAUGCCAUGUGGCGCCGAGACGGCUGGGAAGUGACGCUGCCGUCGGCGCCGCCGACCGCCUCGUGCUUUCACGGACCCGUCCGCGCGCGUCGAAGCCGCGCCCUAGACUCCGGUAUCCUGGCAGCUCUGCCCGCUCCGCGCGGUAGCCCACUGUCAUGCCAUGGUCAGCAGAGCGCCUGCCUGAAGACUGCUGUGUUACGUGCUGCCGUGGCCCGCGGCCACGGUCGAUUGCGUGGCCAGAUACUGCCGCCGGCUGGUGGCGUGAUGUUUGGCUUCCUCACACUGGGGAUGGACGCCUAACCGGGCAGCAGCUGUUGCCCAUUAAUCUAGCCUGCCGCGCUGUGCCGUGUGCGUAGGGUAGCACUGUUUACGUGUCACGUGAAAUGGACGGUCGGUGAGCCAGGCUGUCUGCAUGCAAGUGUCUUGCCCGUGAUUGUUAAUAACAUUGAUUAACGUCCGAAUCAAACGUUUCCUGUGAAAUACAGAAUCGACUAACA